rnacentral:rRNA from 2 species
GAGUGGCGAACUGGUGAGUAACACGUGGGAAACCUGCCCAGAAGCGGGGGAUAACACCUGGAAACAGAUGCUAAUACCGCAUAACAACUUGGACCGCAUGGUCCGAGCUUGAAAGAUGGCUUCGGCUAUCACUUUUGGAUGGUCCCGCGGCGUAUUAGCUAGAUGGUGGGGUAACGGCUCACCAUGGCAAUGAUACGUAGCCGACCUGAGAGGGUAAUCGGCCACAUUGGGACUGAGACACGGCCCAAACUCCUACGGGAGGCAGCAGUAGGGAAUCUUCCACAAUGGACGAAAGUCUGAUGGAGCAACGCCGCGUGAGUGAAGAAGGGUUUCGGCUCGUAAAACUCUGUUGUUAAAGAAGAACAUAUCUGAGAGUAACUGUUCAGGUAUUGACGGUAUUUAACCAGAAAGCCACGGCUAACUACGUGCCAGCAGCCGCGGUAAUACGUAGGUGGCAAGCGUUGUCCGGAUUUAUUGGGCGUAAAGCGAGCGCAGGCGGUUUUUUAAGUCUGAUGUGAAAGCCUUCGGCUCAACCGAAGAAGUGCAUCGGAAACUGGGAAACUUGAGUGCAGAAGAGGACAGUGGAACUCCAUGUGUAGCGGUGAAAUGCGUAGAUAUAUGGAAGAACACCAGUGGCGAAGGCGGCUGUCUGGUCUGUAACUGACGCUGAGGCUCGAAAGUAUGGGUAGCAAACAGGAUUAGAUACCCUGGUAGUCCAUACCGUAAACGAUGAAUGCUAAGUGUUGGAGGGUUUCCGCCCUUCAGUGCUGCAGCUAACGCAUUAAGCAUUCCGCCUGGGGAGUACGGCCGCAAGGCUGAAACUCAAAGGAAUUGACGGGGGCCCGCACAAGCGGUGGAGCAUGUGGUUUAAUUCGAAGCUACGCGAAGAACCUUACCAGGUCUUGACAUACUAUGCAAAUCUAAGAGAUUAGACGUUCCCUUCGGGGACAUGGAUACAGGUGGUGCAUGGUUGUCGUCAGCUCGUGUCGUGAGAUGUUGGGUUAAGUCCCGCAACGAGCGCAACCCUUAUUAUCAGUUGCCAGCAUUAAGUUGGGCACUCUGGUGAGACUGCCGGUGACAAACCGGAGGAAGGUGGGGAUGACGUCAAAUCAUCAUGCCCCUUAUGACCUGGGCUACACACGUGCUACAAUGGAUGGUACAACGAGUUGCGAACUCGCGAGAGUAAGCUAAUCUCUUAAAGCCAUUCUCAGUUCGGAUUGUAGGCUGCAACUCGCCUACAUGAAGUCGGAAUCGCUAGUAAUCGCGGAUCAGCAUGCCGCGGUGAAUACGUUCCCGGGCCUUGUACACACCGCCCGUCACACCAUGAGAGUUUGUAACACCCAAAGUCGGUGGGGUAACCUUUUAGGAACCAGCCGCCUAAGGUGGGACAGAUGAUUAGGGUGAAGUCG